AUCUGACUCUAUCUAUCUAUCUAUCUAUCUAUCUAUCUAUCUAUCUAUCCUAGCAACAUGCUAAUAAUGUUAGAAACAUCAUGUCGCUAGCAUGUUUCUAGCAUGAUUAGCAAGUGACUAGCAUGUCAGUAGCAUGAUUAGCAAGUGACUAGCAUGUUGCUAGCAUGAUUAGCGAGUGACUAGCAUGUCGCUAGCAUGUUUUUAGUAUGAUUAGCGAGUGACUAGCAUGUCGCUAGCAUGUUUUUAGCAUGAUUAGCGACGACAUGCUAGUCACUCGCUAAUCAUGCUAAAAACAUGCUAGUGACAUGCUAGUCACUUGCUAAUCAUGCUAGAAACAUGCUAGCGACAUGCUAGUAACUUGCUAAUUAUGUUAGCAACAUGCUAGUAACUAGCUUAUCAUGCUAGAAACAUGCUAGUAACUUU
ensembl:lncRNA